UGUCACAUCCUCUCAGUUCCUCUCGGAUUUUAACCACAGCUGUGCUGGGCAGGUCCAUUCAAGUCUCAAGCUGCCAGAGGCCACCUUCAUCUGGGAAUUUCUCUGCUCUUCUGUCUUGGAGCCACCUUCAAAGAGGCAGAAGCCACUCAACACACAGCCCAGAAGUAUAGAGGAGUUGUUCUGGAAAUGAUGCAGAAGGGCUGGACCCCGGCUAAACCCCACUCUUAAGCCUGGAACCAUGGCCCUAAGUGAAAACAGCUGACCCCAUUUUUCUGUGCAAAUGUUGCCUUUUUGGCCUGCCCCGCCCCUAUCUUGUGCCCAUAAAAGACUUCAGCUGGCAGAGCAAUACUAGCGGCUGAGCUUUGAAGAUACAAGUGGCUGAGUGUUGGAGACUACAGACAGACAAAGCUAACUUCAGAAUGUACAGCUUCGGAAAGGGGCCCAGCUGGAAAUAGCCGGGCUUCAGAGGAAGAUCACCCUCCCUUCCCCUUUCCAGUCUCCCUUUCUGCUGAGAGCCACCCACCGCUCAGUAAAGUCUUCCACAUUCAUCACCUUUCAAACAUUCCUAUGACCUGAUUCUUCCUGGAUGUCGGACAAGAACCCAGGUGCCAAGAGGGCAGGGGCUGCCACCCUGACCCUCCACUGAGCCAGUUGACACUUGGCCAUCCCUAGAUGGCAGCUGAAAGAGCUUUGGUUGUAACACACUUGGAGGCUGCCGUGAGGUCUGCACAGAGCCUGCUCCCACCAGAGAGGAGCCACUGACUGGUUCUAGCAUUCAUUCACUCUGGUUCCUGCAGUCCCUUGCUCACAUACUCCCUCCUGUGAGGAAUGGCCAGCAGCAGACUAUGAUAUGAGCCACUCCAGUUCCAGCCUGUGAAGGGGGUCAAGGGAACUAUCCCAUCUCAGUACAGUAUUAUAUAGUUACAAAUUUUCGGAGUAUCUUAACUGAGAAGAAAAUGGCAUUGUUUUCCAUACCAAUUAGAAUAAGAAAUGCUUGCAAAGAAUGACAGUAAAGGUGUGGUGGCUCAUGCCUGUAAUCCCAGCACUUUGGGAACCAAAGUGGGCAGAUCCCUUGUUGCCCAGGCUUGGCAACAUAGCAAGACCUUGUCUCUACAAAAAAUACAAAAAAAAUUAGCCAAGCAUGGUGAUGCAUGCCUAUAGUCUCAGCUACCCAGGAGGCUGAGGUCGGAAGAUCACCUGAACUCAGGAUCGGGGGUGAGUCAAGGCUGCAGUGAGUGAGCCGUGAUGACGCCGCUGUGCUCCAGCCUGGGUGACAGAGUGAGACCCUAUCUCAAAAAUAAAUAAAUAAAUAGUAUUACAUCUUAAAAGCUUUACAAAUGCUUUCAUACAAAUGUAAAUUUCUUACAGGAGAGUCCAUCUAAAGAGUACCUGUAUGUUCAUUAAAAUAAUCUAAAGAAUUUAAAAGUCGUUACCUCUAAUAAAUGAUAUCUUUGCCCUCAGUGUGUAAAAUUAUGUUUAGUUAUUUGAAUAUUUUGUUUAAAAAUACUUCUCUACCUGUUGUAGUGUAUAUAGGCUAAGUAAUUUAGUAAUAAAGCAUUGUUUUA
rnacentral:lncRNA from 1 species